rnacentral:lncRNA from 1 species
CCGAGAGUCCACUGACCUUCUCAAUUGAAUGAAUCCAUCACAUCAAUUGAUUCACCUAAGCUCAUUUGAAAUAACAUUUUUUUAUUCGGUAUUUUUUUAAUUAAUAAAAAGUUUGAGCAAAAACCAGAAAUAAAGAUUGUAAAAAUAAAAUUAAAAGAGUUUUUAAUGUCAGCAGAUGCAUGCGUGCAUCAUUAGUGCUUCCUCAGCCAUGGUCGUCUGUUAGACCCAUAGCAUAUGCUUCCCAAUUCAGGUAAGCCAAGGCCUCCUUCCUUGAUUUGUGAGGCUUCUUGAACGAAUCCUCUUUGAAGGCUGUAUCUGGCUACCAAUUCUUUUGUGAGUUUAUUACCUUUUUCUUCUUCUGUCGAGCGUUCCUUUCUUUUCAAAUACUUCAUGCCAACGCUGCAGUUCUGGACCAUGUUAAUCCCCAGAAUUUUGAUUUCGACAUCAGACUUCCCAUAGCCUGAAAUAGAAUAUUUUUAUUUAUGUGGAUGUAAUUGGACGAUUCCACCUGUUGCUCGAAGACCUUCAUUUAUUAUCCAGCAUUUGUAUGAACAUUGGAAGAAAAUGUGUUUUUUUUUUGCUAGAACAAUCCAGUGUAUGCAGACCCCAUCAUUGAGACUGGUUGGUGAAAUUCCACAUCUAGAUCAAGCUAAAUUAAUAGUGAGGGCCAAGGAAGCCAUUAAAACUCAAUCACUCUAAUUAUUUAUUGUUUAUACCUCCUGGAUAAUCUGAUUGGGACAUCCUCUUGGUGUUUACAUUAGGAGAGUAGGACAUCUGUUCGAGACUCCAGAUUAUUUCUGAGUUAGACGUUUUGAGACCGUCAUUC